rnacentral:snoRNA from 1 species
AAGCCAUGAUGGGGACAGUCUCGCUGGUACGAUUUGAAUCGCACCCAAGAAGCUUUGAAUGGUUCAGUUGGUUCCUGAGAAAAAGUUGAAAUUUUUGUCCUCAACUC